rnacentral:rRNA from 1 species
CAACUCGACUACAUGAAGCUGGAAUCGCUAGUAAUCGCGGAUCAGAAUGCCGCGGUGAAUACGUUCCCGGGUCUUGUACACACCGCCCGUCACACCAUGGGAGUCGGAAAUGCCCGAAGUCUGUGACCCAACCUUAGGGAGGGAGCAGCCGAAGGCAGGUCGGAUGACUGGGGUGAAGUCGUAACAAGGUAGC